rnacentral:rRNA from 1 species
GACGAACGCUGGCGGCGUGCUUAACACAUGCAAGUCGAACGGUGAAGCGCCUUCCUUUUUGGUGGGUGUGGAUGAGUGGCGAACGGGUGAGUAACACGUGAGUAACCUGCCCCCUUCUUCUGGAUAACCGCAUGAAAGUGUGACUAAUACGGGAUAUUCUGGGUCUGUCGCAUGAUGGGUCUGGGAAAGAUAUUGUUUCGGUGGGGGAUGGGCUCGCGGCCUAUCAGCUUGUUGGUGGGGUGAUGGCCUACCAAGGCGGUGACGGGUAGCCGGCCUGAGAGGGUGGACGGUCACACUGGGACUGAGACACGGCCCAGACUCCUACGGGAGGCAGCAGGGGGGAAUAUUGCACAAUGGGCGCAAGCCUGAUGCAGCGACGCCGCGUGAGGGAUGGAGGCCUUCGGGUUGUGAACCUCUUUCGCCAGUGAAGCAGGCCUGCCUCGUUUGUGGGUGGGUUGACGGUAGCUGGAUAAGAAGCGCCGGCUAACUACGUG